CCCUGACAGCGGCGUUGGGCCGCUGACACUUACCCGACAGGAGAUUCUCAUG
rnacentral:ncRNA from 1 species